AUUGAACGCUGGCGGGAUGCUUUACACAUGCAAGUCGAACGGCAGCCUGGACUUCGGUCUGGUGGCGAGUGGCGAACGGGUGAGUAAUGUAUCGGAACGUGCCUAGUAGCGGGGGAUAACUACGCGAAAGCGUAGCUAAUACCGCAUACGCCCUUCGGGGAAAGCGGGGGACCUUCGGGCCUCGCACUAUUAAACGGCCGAUAUCGGAUUAGCUAGUUGGUGGGGUAACGGCUCACCAGGCGACGAUCCGUAGCUGGUUUGAGAGGACGACCAGCCACUGGGACUGAGACACGGCCAGACUCCUACGGGAGGCAGCAGUGGGGAAUUUUGGACAAUGGGGAAACCUGAUCCAGCCAUCCCGCGUGUGCGAUGAAGGCCUUCGGGUUGUAAAGCACUUUUGGCAGGGGAAAGAAACGGCACGGGAUAAUACCCCGUGCAACUGACAGUACCUACCCAGAAUAAGCACCGGCUAACUACACGUGCCAGCAGCCGCGGUAAUACGUAGGGUGCAAGCGUUAAUCGGAAUUACUGGGCGUAAAGCGUGCGCAGGCGGUUCGGAAGAAAGAUGUGAAAUCCCAGAGCUUAACUUUGGAACUGCAUUUUUAACUACCGAGCUAGAGUGUGUCAGAGGGAGGUGGAAUUCCCGCGUGUAGCAGUGAAAUGCGUAGAUAUGCGGAGGAACGCCGAUGGCGAAGGCAGCCUCCUGGGAUAACACUGACGCUCAUGCACGAAAGCGUGGGGAGCAAACAGAGUUGGUCCUGGUAGUCCACGCCCUAAACGAUGUCAACUAGCUGUUGGGGCCUUCGGGCCUUGGUAGCGCAGCUAACGCGUGAAGUUGACCGCCUGGGGAGUACGGUCGCAAGAUUAAAACUCAAAGGAAUUGACGGGGACCCGCACAAGCGGUGGAUGAUGUGGAUUAAUUCGAUGCAACGCGAAAACCUUACCUACCCUUGACAUGUCUGGAAUCCCGAAGAGAUUUGGGAGUGCUCGCAAGAGAACCGGAACACAGGUGCUGCAUGGCUGUCGUCAGCUCGUGUCGUGAGAUGUUGGGUUAAGUCCGCAACGAAGCGCAACCCUUGUCAUUAGUUGCUACGAAAGGGCACUCUAAUGAGACUGCCGGUGACAAACCGGAGGAAGGUGGGGAUGACGUCAAGUCCUCAUGGCCCUUAUGGGUAGGGCUUCACACGUCAUGCAAUGGUCGGGACAGAGGGUCGCCAACCCGCGAGGGGAGGCCAAUCCCAGAAACCCGAUCGUGGUCCGGAUCGCAGUCUGCAACUCGACUGCGUGAAGUCGGAAUCGCUAGUAAUCGCGGAUCAGCAUGUCGCGGUGAAUACGUUCCGGGUCUUGUACACCGCCCGUCACACCAUGGGGUGGGUUUUACCAGAAGUAGUUAGCCUAACCGUAAGGAGGGCAUUCUGUUAGGAUUCAUGACUGGGGUGAAGUCGUAACAAAGGUAG
rnacentral:rRNA from 1 species